rnacentral:rRNA from 1 species
UACGUAGGGUGCAAGCGUUGUCCGGAAUUAUUGGGCGUAAAGAGCUCGUAGGCGGUUCGUCGCGUCGGCUGUGAAAACCCGGAGCUCAACUCCGGGCCUGCAGUCGAUACGGGCGGACUCGAGUUCGGCAGGGGAGACGUGGAAUUCCGAUGUGGUAGCGGUGAAAAUGCGCAGAUAUCAGGAGGAACACCGGUGGCGAAGGCGGGUCUCUGGGCCGAUACUGACGCUGAGGAGCGAAAGCGUGGGGAGCGAACAGG